AUCUACCCCACCUUGUGGCCAAUCGUUGACAUUAAGAGACCUGGGCCCUCAUUUAUAAAGCACUGCCUAGGAUUCACGUGGGAAGGUGGCAUACGUAGGACAAAGCAAGUAAAUAUGCACAAAAAUAUUCCGGUUUAUAAAACACUGCGCACGCACGUUAGCCUACACCUGUGCGUCUGGCACUCAGUAACGUAAUGUUCUUCCCUUUUAGGAAAUGAUAUUAAACCAAGUGCAAUAGCAGGGUUUGCACAUAUACAAACAGUUGGGACUUUGUUUACAAAAGAGAUAUCUGUUUAUUUGGUGGUUUGUGUUCCGGCUGUGCACAGCGUCUCCACUGCACCCUGUGCGUCUCACCCACCCCCAGCAGCAACUCUAUCAACCAGUUAAAGGAAAUACAACCAGUAUGUUGUGUGAUGUCAGGGCUACAAUUGACCAAAUAUAUGGUGUUAUUAGUUUUCAUAUAUUUUGUGUUUUACGAGCGACCCAUCACGUUCCGGCGAACGGCAUAAUAAUGAACUUUAUUUGUAAAGGACCGUUCAAAAACAAAGUUCUAAAAUGCUCAACAAUUUAAACACAUUUUCAGACAACCUCAACGGCGUCAGUUAACAUGUCUUUCUGUUUACCACAUCAUGUAUGAGAACACAUUUCGUAACAUGUUGAGAAUAUAUUUGAGGGGUGGGUUUCAAUAACAUAUCUUAUCUUAUCUUAUUUAUUUCUCAAAGUUAUGGUUUUGUGUGCACUCAGAAGUCUCAAACAGGCGUUUGUUUAAUCAUUUUAAGAUCGGCUUUUAUCCUUCUGCAAAUGAAUUCUUCUUAUAUGAUAUAUGAGGUAAUGUUUCGAUUGGUGGUUUUAUUUCCACAUGGUUCUCUCCGUUCUUCCUUCUGCCAACGGUGUCGCAGUUUCUCAUCUCUCCCGUGUUUGUGCGUAAGCAUGGGUCAGAGUGUGCUUGGAGGACCGCACAUUUCCCGUCAGGUUUGUUUUUUAUAAAUCGAAAAGAUUGCUUAGAAACUGGCGUACGCCAUUUUUUGGGCGUAUGCCACGUUUAUAAACGAGGCCCCUGGACGUUUAGCUAUCUUUUUAUGUAAAGGAACCCAAACAAUAUGGUUCAUGUAUUUGUUAAAUUGCUUUUAUUUUGUUAUCUUUCAUGAACAAGGAUGUGCUUUUAUUUUGAAGAGAUAAGGAACGGAAGUUGAGCAGAAAGACGUUAACGAAAAGUACGGUAACACGGAGAAACGGUGCAGUAACACGACAUAACGGGAGAGUAUAACGGAGUUUAGCUCCAGUCGAGAGGGAAACAAGGUUGGGCAGUUGCGACCCAGGUUCUGCUAGCAUCUGGCUAAUGAAAGCCGAUUGGUCAAUGAAGAACUCACGACUGGUUACGACCGAAGAAUACGCUUUGUGGUACCUGUCCACAGAACAUCAACAACGCUCUUAAGGUGCCAACCGCCGUUAAAAGAGAAGAAGAAGAAAGCUCUUAAGGAGGACUCUGAAAGGACAUUACAAUCGAACUUUUUUAUUUGAUUAUGGUCAACUUUGGAUGUACUGAUCCUACCACACACAUACAUUGUAUUGUAAAAAUAAAUUUGAAAGUUAACUGAU